AUUCUUUCAAAUAGUGUGGAAAGUCCCAACAACCAGCCUAGAUGUCAACUUCUGAGUAAAUAAUUUCUCUUGCCAACAUUCCUUUCUGGGGUGAGCCUUCCAAUUUUUCACAGUAUACUGUCUGUAACCUCUGCAUAGCAUCAGGCCCCAUGCUGAGCAGCAUACAGCAUACCCCCAUAAGCCAUGAGGGAUACUGGGUUCAGAUUCCUUCGUAGCAUCUCAACUUCCCGACAAGUGGUUGUUGCUUCAGGCAGUGAAUGACUGGAGAGAAGGACGCACUAAUCGGGAGACAGAGCAGCAAAGUCAAGGACCCAGCAAACCGAAUACUCAUGACCCCUACGGGGUGAAGGUGAGAGAUCAAAAGAGAGCACCGCUCCAUAGGAGGAACACAACAACUGCAUGUCCUCCUGAGCUCAGGUCUGAAUGGAAAUCCAGCAAUGACUCAGCAGGGAAGGCUUCCUGCAUGGCAGAAGAGAGUCCAACCAAUCAAAGCCACAUGUGAUCAGUGUCUACGAGGAGCCGGCACUGAGGUCUGAAUAUCUCCAACAAAACUCCAAAACUCAUACUGAGGUGGGUGUGGAUGUGUGUACUUCUAGUCCCAGCACCAGGGAGGCAAACAAAACAAACAAACAAACAAACAAACAAAAAACAGAAGCAUUGUAAAUUCAAGGCCAGCGUAGACAGGGAGUUUCAGGCCAGCAGAGCAAGACCCUGUCUCAAAAAAUACCAAAAUAAAACCUCACCUUGAAAUUAAGUGCCCUCUUUGUGGUAUUGAAAGGAUGGAAACUUCAUUCACUACAGUGUUUGGAGAAGGCACCUUUGGGAGGUGAUUAAGGUUGAAUGCCCCUUUAAGGGCAUUUGUUACAAUGACACUGUGACCAUAGGUUGAGUAACAAUUUCCUCUGGGACUGAAACAUCCCAUCCUGCAGGGAAGCUCCUUAAGCAAGAAGAAAACUCAAAGGAGCUUCAGAAAGUCCCUGAAACAGAGCAUAUUCACUAGACUCCCCCUUGCCAGAGUAAGCAAUAAAAACUGAGAGUCCCUCAAGACUAGAGGAACACAGCUACAAAGAAGACACCGAGAUCAGACCAGCUGCCUGGAAGAGGCAAAAACCAGUCAAGCUGCCUGGAAGAGGUUUAAACCAAGCUGCAAAGGACACUUGCUAACCUGUUGAAUGGUCUGCCGGUGUGGCACCUCAUCUUGAGCUUCUUUCUGUCUUUAGAACGUAAGCUGACUAAGCCUUUGCCUUUAUAAACCAGUUUCAGCAACUGAAAAGAGACUAAUGGCCGGUGGCUUUGCUGUGUGCCGGGUAGAGCCCUGAUGUCCUGACCAAUCCCAGCCACCUGCAAAGGGUCACUGGAGAGGCAGAUUCCAACUAGCCCAUGUGACUACCUAAGAGCUAGGGAAAAGGUGGGUCAGGCGGUCCAACCUGGAAGACAUACUGUUAAGUUUGAGCUAUAGGCAACCACCAGAAUAGCGUCUAGUCCUGGGAGCUGACAGGGAUAGGAACCUUAACUCAGACGCAUGGAAGGAAAAUGGGGAGCAAGGCAGGGUAGAAGAAAUCUAGGACUCUGGGACUUGGGGCAUCUGGCAAAAGACAGCAGUGAGCAUCCACUGCACUCUGGAAUUGAUUGCCAAGGGUGCUGCCC